GAACUGGAGUGCAUCACUUCAAUAUCAGAUAAAAGGACCCUGAACAAACUGAUCAACAUCUUGGACAAUGACUGUCAUCAGGCAGUAAUGGGGGCUCAGAUAGGGAGCACAGGGGGAAACCUACCAUUUACCAACUAGACACCUGAAUGGCAUGGCAGACCUUUCUAGGAGAUGAUGUAGAUGAUCCUGAAGACCAGUACAUGUGAUCCCAUUUGGCCAUGGCCUUUGACCUCAUUGCUGAAGCACACCCAAAAUGCCUAGUAUUACCAAAGAUGGUCUGUCACUUUUUGACGACUUUUUUGACCGUGCAGCUCAGCCCUGCACUCGCCCAGGCUCAAACCCGCAAUUGGCUGCCAAUCGAAUUGGGAGUCUGGAGCUUCAGCAUUGUUUCAGUUUUAUCUUUGUAUGUUUUUGUUACCAGCUGGCUAUGGACGGAUUAUGAGCCACUGGGCACAGGUCUACGUGAAAAGCCCCCCCACACAAGGCUUGACUGUGGGGCCCCAUUCAGAUAUCAGGGGUGAAUCACAUAACCUGUGGUAUAUGAUUGAGGGGACCUAUUAAGACAUAUCACAUGACUAGAAAUACUAGUAGUUUGAUGCUGUUAAAUAUAUGUGAUGCGAUCUAGGAAAACCCUUCACAUGGUGCACUCAAAAAUUCUUUGAUUUUUGCUCCAUUUCAACCCUCUCUGGUGCAAUUUUACCAACUUAAGAUUCUGGUACCAUCCUAGCAACAUUCUGAACACUGUCCCCUAGCAAAACACUGGAUACCAUCCUCCCAAAAUCUUGGAUGUUGUUAGGAUGGUAUCAGAAUCAUAAGUUGGUAACAUUGCACCAUGUGAAGGGUUUUCCCGGAGAUGGACAUCUCCAAGGUCCAGUGUGGAGACUGUAGUAGUGUCUCUAGAUGAGGUGAAGGAUGGGCCUGCAUUGAGACUAGAAGUUGAAAAGGCAGUGAUCGCUAUCCACCGUACUGAGAUGGCUAAUGCUAGGCCCGUGUCUCACUCAACAGCUGAGAAAGAGGACAUCAGUUAGCCUGAUCAGGAGACCAGCAAAAUGGACUGCACCCUGAUCGAAUCACUUGUUGACCAAGGGAUACCUCAGCAGGACAAGGGGGGAGAUAGAUAGAUAGAUAGAUAGAUACAUACUUUAUUGAUCCCCAAGGGGAAAUUCAAGUAGGAGCGCAUCAAAUGUAAUGUGAGUGGUAGGAGACCAUCUCCACUGAAGGUUGAUGGAGAUCGUGAUCGAGAGUUCAGCAAAGAGGACUGCACGCUGAAUGAGUCAUCUAUUGACCAUGGGACACAUCAGCUGGACGAGGGGGGCAGUAAGACAUCCCUGUUCCAUGGUAAUGGAGACGAAGCUGUGGACCUGUGCCCACACCACAGGCCGGUGCGUGGCGCACGCCUGACACCCCUGAGAAGAGCGACGUGAUGGAGGAAGAGAGGAGGACAAUUCUGCAUGGAGGGGAAAUUACAACCCAGAAUACAACCACAGAGGCCACACUGACCACUGAGGAAGAGAGGAGGACAAUUCUGCAUGGAUUGUUUUGAGAGGAGGGGAC